UACAGAGGGGGCGAGCGUUGUUCGGAAUUACUGGGCGUAAAGCGUGCGCAGGCGGUUGUGCAAGACAGAUGUGAAAUCCCCGGGCUUAACCUGGGAACUGCAUUUGUGACUGCACAGCUGGAGUGCGGCAGAGGGGGAUGGAAUUCCGCGUGUAGCAGUGAAAUGCGUAGAUAUGCGGAGGAACACCGAUGGCGAAGGCAAUCCCCUGGGCCUGCACUGACGCUCAUGCACGAAAGCGUGGGGAGCAAACAGG
rnacentral:rRNA from 1 species